rnacentral:lncRNA from 1 species
UGCCACUUGACGGCCGCGGUGGGCGGAGCCCGGGAAAGAAAUGGGGCGGCCUCUUUAGGAUCCGCUACCCGCUACUCCCCGGGCCGCGGCGGCGCCGCGAUGGAUUGACCAGGUCCCACCAAGCUCCGAAGUCCCGGCGGCCUGAGCCCUCCCGCUAACGAGGACCCCGAGACUUGAGGUAUGUCACACAAGCCGUUUGGGGUUGGGUCAGGAGGCCGGUGAGCAAGGGCAUCUCGUGUUUGCGAGCCGCUCUUUAAUUAAG